UACGGAGGGUGCAAGCGUUAUCCGGAUUCACUGGGUUUAAAGGGUGCGUAGGCGGGCAUUUAAGUCUGAUGUGAAAGCCCGGGGCUCACCCCCGGAAGUGCAUUGGAAACUGAUGGACUCGAGUCCCGGAGAGGAGAGUGGAAUUCCUGGUGUAGCGGUGAAAUGCGUAGAUAUCAGGAGGAACACCGGUGGCGAAGGCGGCUCUCUGGACGGUGACUGACGCUGAGACGCGAAAGCGUGGGGAGCAAACAGG
rnacentral:rRNA from 1 species